rnacentral:rRNA from 1 species
UACGAACUGCGCGAGCGUUAUUCGGAAUCACUGGGCUUACAGGGUGCGUAGGUGGCAUCGAAAGUAGGGUGUGAAAUGCCUUGGCUCAACCAAGGCACAGCGCUCUAAACUACUUUGCUUGAGUGAGUCAGGGGUGCACGGAACUUCCGGUGGAGCGGUGAAAUGUGUUGAUAUCGGAAGGAACACCGGCGGCGAAAGCGGUGCACUGGGGCUUAACUGACACUGAGGCACGAAAGCCAGGGGAGCGAACGGG